rnacentral:rRNA from 1 species
CGGCGGACGGGUGAGUAACGCGUGGGUAACCUGCCCUAAAGCCCGGGAUAACAGCGGGAAACCGCUGCUAAUACCGGAUACCUUUACCCUGGGGCAUCCUGGGGUAAAGAAAGAAUUUCGCUUUAGGAUGGGCCCGCGUCCCAUUAGCUAGUUGGUGAGGUAACGGCUCACCAAGGCGACGAUGGGUAGCCGGCCUGAGAGGGUGAACGGCCACACUGGGACUGAGACACGGCCCAGACUCCUACGGGAGGCAGCAGUAGGGAAUAUUGCGCAAUGGGCGAAAGCCUGACGCAGCGACGCCGCGUGAGCGAAGAAGGCCUUCGGGUCGUAAAGCUCUGUCCUCAGGGAAGAAGGAAGUGACGGUACCUGAGGAGGAAGCCCCGGCUAACUACGUGCCAGCAGCCGCGGUAAUACGUAGGGGGCGAGCGUUGUCCGGAAUUACUGGGCGUA